rnacentral:rRNA from 1 species
UACGAGUGCCUCAAGCGUUAUCCGGAAUCAUUGGGCGUAAAGGAUGUGUAGGUGGUUGUGUUAGUCUCUUGUUAAAUUCUUCGGCUUAACCGGGGGCAUGCAAGGGAAACGGCACGACUAGAGGAUGCGAGGGGUCUGCGGAACUCAUAGUGUAGCGGUGAAAUGCGUUGAUAUUAUGGGGGAACACCAAAAGCGAAGGCAGCAGACUGGAGCACUCCUGACACUGAAACAUGAAAGCGUGGGUCGCGAAUGGG